UUUAAAGUCUAAUCUGCCCUAUGAGGGGUUAAAUGGCCGCGGUAUUUUGACCGUGCAAAGGUAGCAUAAUAAUUAGUUUUUUAAUUGAAAGCUGGAAUGAAUGAUUGGACGAGAAAAUAACUGUCUCAAGUUAAAUUUUAUUAGAAAUUUAUUUUUAAGUAAAAAAGCUUAAAUUUUGUUAAAAGACGAGAAGACCCUAUAGAGUUUUAUAUUUUAUUUUAAAUUAAUUUUUUAGAAUUUUUAUAUUAGUUUAAUAUAAAUUAUUUUAUUGGGGUGAUAGAAAAAUUUAAUUAACUUUUUUUUUAUUAUUUACAUUUAUUUAUGAUUUUAUGAUCCAUUAUUAUGAUUAUAAGAUUAAGUUACCUUAGGGAUAACAGCGUAAUUUUUUUUUAGAGUUCUUAUCGAAAGAAAAGUUUGCGACCUCGAUGUUGGAUUAAAAUUUAUGUUAGGUGUAGAAGCUUAAUUAUUAGGUCUGUUCGACCUUUAAAAUUUUACA
rnacentral:rRNA from 2 species